ACGGGAGGCAGCAGUGGGGAAUAUUGGGCAAUGGGCGAAAGCCUGACCCAGCAACGCCGCGUGAAGGAAGAAGGUCUUCGGAUUGUAAACUUCUUUUAUGUAGGACGAACAAAUGACGGUACUACAUGAAUAAGCCACGGCUAACUACGUGCCAGCAGCCGCGGUAAUACGUAGGUGGCAAGCGUUAUCCGGAUUUACUGGGUGUAAAGGGCGCGUAGGCGGGAAAGCAAGUCAGAAGUGAAAUCCAUGAGCUCAACUCAUGAACUGCAUUUGAAACUGUUUUUCUUGAGUGUCGGAGAGGUAGAUGGAAUUCCUAGUGUAGCGGUGAAAUGCGUAGAUAUUAGGAAGAACACCAGUGGCGAAGGCGAUUUACUGGACGAUAACUGACGCUGAGGCGCGAAAGCGUGGGGAGCAAACAGGAUUAGAUACCCUGGUA
rnacentral:rRNA from 1 species